GCACUGAUGGACUAGCACCAUAACACUGAUCUGCAGAAGAUGCAAGCGAACCAGACGCCACUACAGCAUGAAACUUUUUCUGUGAGCUUGUUUUGCGCUUUCUAGAGAGGACUAAAUGAUUAUCUGAUGUUAACUGCAGCAAAGCCUCCGACUGAUCAGCAGAAGAUGCAAGCGAACCAGACGCCACUACAGCAUGAAACUUUUUCUGUGAGCUUGUUUUGCGCUUUCUAGAGAGGACUACAUGAUUAUCUGAUGUUAACUGCAGCAAAGCCUCCGGAGAAAUAUUCUUAGAGUUUCUUAAAGCUGAUGAGUUUGACAUGAGAAGUCUUAAAUUCUGGGUAAAAGAUUCCCAAUGUAC
rnacentral:lncRNA from 1 species